rnacentral:rRNA from 1 species
CCUACGGGACGCAGCAGUGGGGAAUAUUGGGCAAUGGGCGCAAGCCUGACCCAGCAACGCCGCGUGAAGGAAGAAGGCCUUCGGGUCGUAAAGCUCUGUCCUCAAGGAAGAUAAUGACGGUACUUGAGGAGGAAGCCCCGGCUAACUACGUGCCAGCAGCCGCGGUAAUACGUAGGGGGCUAGCGUUAUCCGGAAUUACUGGGCGUAAAGGGUGCGUAGGUGGUUUCUUAAGUCAGAGGUGAAAGGCUACGGCUCAACCGUAGUAAGCCUUUGAAACUGGGAAACUUGAGUGCAGGAGAGGAGAG